rnacentral:rRNA from 1 species
GAUAAACGCUGGCGGCGCACAUAAGACAUGCAAGUUGAACGGACUUAAUCGAAAUAUUUAUAUUUUGAAGCGGUUAGUGGCGGACUGGUGAGUAACGCGUAAGGAACCUGCCUAUUAGAGGGGAAUAACAGUGAGAAAUCAUUGCUAAUACCGCAUAUGCCAUAGAUAUCACAUGAUAACAGUGGGAAAGGAGCAAUCUGCUAAUAGAUGGCCUUGCGUCUGAUUAGAUAGUUGGUGGGGUAACGGCCUACCAAGUCGACGAUCAGUAGCCGGACUGAGAGGUUGAACGGCCACAUUGGGACUGAGAUACGGCCCAGACUCCUACGGGAGGCAGCAGUCGGGAAUAUUGCGCAAUGGAGGAAACUCUGACGCAGUGACGCCGCGUAUAGGAAGAAGGUUUUCGGAUUGUAAACUAUUGUCGUUAGGGAAGAGAAAGGACAGUACCUAAGGAGGAAGCUCCGGCUAACUACGUG